AGACCCGAAACCCGGUGAUCUAGCCAUGGGCAGGUUGAAGGUUGGGUAACACUAACUGGAGGACCGAACCGACUAAUGUUGAAAAAUUAGCGGAUGACCUGUGGCUGGGGGUGAAAGGCCAAUCAAACCGGGAGAUAGCUGGUUCUCCCCGAAAGCUAUUUAGGUAGCGCCUCGUGAAUUCAUCUCCGGGGGUAGAGCACUGUUUCGGCUAGGGGGCCAUCCCGGCUUACCAACCCGAUGCAAACUGCGAAUACCGGAGAAUGUUAUCACGGGAGACACACGGCGGGUGCUAACGUCCGUCGUGAAGAGGGAAACAACCCAGACCGCCAGCUAAGGUCCCAAAGUCAUGGUUAAGUGGGAAACGAUGUGGGAAGGCCCAGACAGCCAGGAUGUUGGCUUAGAAGCAGCCAUCAUUUAAAGAAAGCGUAAUAGCUCACUGGUCGAGUCGGCCUGCGCGGAAGAUGUAACGGGGCUAAACCAUGCACCGAAGCUGCGGCAGCGACGCUUAUGCGUUCGUUGGGUAGGGGAGCGUUCUGUAAGCCUGUGAAGGUGG
rnacentral:rRNA from 1 species